rnacentral:rRNA from 1 species
CCUACGGGAGGCAGCAGUGGGGAAUAUUGCACAAUGGGGGAAACCCUGAUGCAGCGACGCCGCGUGAGUGAAGAAGUAUUUCGGUAUGUAAAGCCCUAUCAGCAGGGAAGAAAAUGACGGUACCUGACUAAGAAGCCCCGGCUAACUACGUGCCAGCAGCCGCGGUAAUACGUAGGGGGCAAGCGUUAUCCGGAUUUACUGGGUGUAAAGGGAGCGUAGGCGGCCAGACAAGUCAGGAGGUAAAACCCGCGGGUCAAAUGCGGGAGUGCUGUUGAAACUGCUUGGCGGGAGUGCAGGAGAGGUAAGUGGAAUUCGUGGUGUAGCGGUGAAAUGCGUAGAUAUUAGGAGGAACACCAGUGGCGAAGGCAGCUUACUGGACUGUAACUGACGUUGAGGCUCGAAGGCGUGGGGAGCAAACAGGAUUAGAUACCCCUGUAGUC